UGCAGUCGAGCGGUAACAUUUCUAGCUUGCUAGAAGAUGACGAGCGGCGGACGGGUGAGUAAUGCUUGGGAAUAUGCCUUAUGGUGGGGGACAACAGUUGGAAACGACUGCUAAUACCGCAUAACGUCUACGGACCAAAGGGGGGGGGUCUUCGGACCUCUCGCCAUUUGAUUAGCCCAAGUGAGAUUAGCUAGUUGGUAAGGUAAUGGCUUACCAAGGCGACGAUCUCUAGCUGGUUUGAGAGGAUGAUCAGCCACACUGGGACUGAUACACGGCCCAAACUCCUACGGGAGGCAGCAGUGGGGAAUCUUGCACAAUGGAGGAAACUCUGAUGCAGCGAUGCCGCGUGAGUGAAGAAGGCCCUUGGGUUGUAAAGCUCUUUCGUCGGGGAAGAAAAUGACUGUACCCGAAUAAGAAGGUCCGGCUAACUUCGUGCCAGCAGCCGCGGUAAUACGAAGGGACCUAGCGUAGUUCGGAAUUACUGGGCUUAAAGAGUUCGUAGGUGGUUGAAAAAGUUGGUGGUGAAAUCCCAGAGCUUA
rnacentral:rRNA from 1 species